rnacentral:lncRNA from 1 species
CAAGCUUGGAGCCCUCCCCAGGGGGCAGUGGUCCCUCCAGAGAGCCGCCUAUCUGUCUCCCAGAUUUACAGUUGGAGCCAGGCACUGAGUCAUGAUUUAUCCAGGGAUUGGCUCUGGGCCAGCCUGCUCAUGGCCGUGAAGUGCCUGGUUUGCUUUCUUUUCCCUUCUCCUUCCUUUGCCUUUUCACUUACCUGCAUUCAGACACUGUUCCUCUGGGAAGCCCUUCCUGACCCCAGAUGCCACUGUCUCCUAUGCCUUGUGCUUCCCUCUGGCUUGACUCUCAUCACUGUGCCUUGGGAUUAUUGGCUUGUGUGCCUGUCUCCCUCCUGGACUGAGCGUUCCUUGAAGGCAGGACUGUGGCUUUAUUUUAGGAGAGGAGGCCUCGGUCGCUACCGGAGGGACCCCAGCACCCUUCUCUUCUCCCUGCCUCUCUCUUUAGUUGUCUUCAUCUUCCUGUGAUUUUGAAUCCAGGAUUGUUGGGUUGGGGAAGAGGCCUGAGGCCCUUGUCAUCGUUCUUGCAUGGCUCCCUGUGUGUCUAUCAGCUAGGCAUUUUGUUCCAAGCCACAGAAAUAGACUCUGGCUGAUGUAAGCAGGAAGGACAAUUUACGGAAUGGGUAGAAGGUAUUCGCUGCAUCGUAGGAAGCCCGAAGAACCAGGUUCAGGUAAUAGGCUGGGGGUCCGGGAUCAUAGCCACCAUCCUGCCACACAGGCCAUCUGGGAGGACCCUCCUGCCACGCCCUGCCAGCCCUGGGCACUGAACAGCUCUGUGGGUACAUUGGCCAUGGUGGCCCUUGGAAGCAGGAUGUUUGUGCAGCUGCUGCAACAGAAUGGAAACUCUGUGCCUUUUGUGCGUGUGUCCUCGGCCCAGAUUCAGAAUCCCAGGCAGCUGCCUCUGACCGGUUGAGCCGGGUCACCCCCCAAUUCCGGGCCCCUAGGAGACUAUGUGGAACACACCGAGGCAUCGCCCCACUGGGUAUAAGGGAAUUGAGCCAUGCGUCCGCCAUUUCUGUUCUCUCAUUGGCAAAGGUUGUUCCUGGGGCAUGUCAGUUCCCUGGCUCUCUGCCCUGCCCGGCACACAGGCCAGACCACCCUCAUGCGGAGAAGCUGGGAGGCCUUGGCAUGAUUGGGAAGUGUCUGCAGGUGGCCUCCAGAAUGAAGUGAGGUACCAUGCAUAUGGAUACUACCACGGCCACAGCCAUUAUUAUCGCCAUCGCCAUCUUCACCUCCACUCCUAUCUUCACUACCACCACCACCACAUUCGUCACCACCCUGCCACGCUCGUCACUGCCGCCCUAAUCAUCUCCAUCACCGCCAUGACCGUCAUUAUCGUUGGUUCCAUCACCGCUGCCAUCAUCACCAUCAUCUCCUCUACCACGUUCUCUAUGCCAGUAUGUUCUUAG